AUGUAUCCAAUGGAACAGCCAAAUGUGUUUGUUCAGCAUUCAAAUGAUCAGUUCUCACUGCUUGGGAUUCACCAGAGCCUUCUUUUGGCUUCACAUGAGCUCGCCUUGGAAAGUACUGAUAAGGGCAGCUGUCUGAUUUUUUUAUUUCUUUUCUCCCCCAUCAACCGGCUCGCCUGCUGCCAUCUGCCCAACUGCCUUUCUUUACACACACACACACACACACACAUCACAUCACACACACACACACACACAACACACACACACACACACACACACACACACACACACACACACACACACACACACACACACACACACACACACACACACACACACACACACACACACACCCUACUAUCCUCAUUCAGUGGUGUCUCACCAUCCCCUCUGUGCUUCCCCACCUAUCACCUCAGGUGUGAUGCCAGCAUUGCCAAGCUGACCGCCGACACGAGCUCUGGGGAUCGGCAGAUGAUUAGACUGCAGCGGGAGAUGGAAGAGCUCAGAUCGGCUGUGGGUGUGAAGCUGGGAGAGCUGGGAGUCACGCUUCAUCGUGACCUAAGAAGACUGGAGGCCUCAUUGACAGAGCUUUCCCAGAGCCAAGGGAGCUCCAUGUCUGAUCUGCAUAGACAAGUUAAACUACUAGAAGACAAGAUGUCAGGUGGGCUGAAGGAAGCCAAGGAGCAGACAGAUUCACUGAGAUGUUGGACAGACCACCAGCUCUACAGCUCUCACCAGACACUUGCCCAGAGCAACCGGCAGCUCCGCUCACAACUACAAGACAAAAUGGUAGCACCCAUAGUUUAUGUAGAAUAUGGUGUAUCUAUGCAAUUUUGCUUCCUCUUCCUUACUGGUUUCAGAUUCUUUUUAAUGGCUCCACCUGGAAGAAACAAGUGUUUGGUUUGUGGUGUUCAAAUAUGCAUGGUUCAGUCACACCUUUUUAAACUGCGACCUACAGUCUAUGACUGCGACUCAGCAGUAAAAGUACUUCACUUUGAAAAAUGCUCACCAAGUGGAACUGAUGCUGAAAAAGCAGCAGAGGGGGUUUUGCAUUGGUAAAUUGUUCAAGGUGGCACAUGAAUGAACAUUUCUUGGAAUCGAUAUAUCUUUAUCAAAUUAACCAUACGAGACACGUAUUGUACAUUCCAUACAUACCAAAGAGGCUGCAAGUAUUACCUGUGGUUACAGUAAUAUUUCAAAAGUUACACGAUUCAGAAUUUGUAAAGGUCAAAUGUUAAUGAGUACUGCCUUUAAAUCGGGUUUAAAAGAACAAUCAGAACUCGUCACUAAUGUCAGGCAUGUAUGUUUGUGUUCAGUUAGAGGCAGAGUCUAGAUUAGCUGCCCAGCUCCGUGCUCUGGAGGCCCGUGCGGAGCGGGACCGGGCCGACCGGAGUCAGGCGGAUCAGCUGAAACGCUCGGAAACCAAACUCAGCAAGAGAAUGAGCUCGCUGGAGAGCAGCCUUCAUCGGGAGCUGCAGCUGCUCAAACAGGAAUACGACAAAGGUGGGCGAUCACUGUCGGUGUACUUGCUGUCAUCAGUUAGCAAACGCACACGCAUAUACUACACUCACCGUAUACGUCAAGGAAAAAAAUGCACACGCAAAAAUGCUUCACCGAUGAGUCGGAAAGAGAGAGACGGUGGAGCAAAGGGACUGUUCCCAAUUUCCCCUAAGCUGAGUGACCUGACUCUUGAUGCAUGUGGUUAAUUUUCUCUUGCCCACAAAUGAGAUUCUCACUAAUCCAGUUACUCACAAUGGUCAGUGACUUGGUGAUGGCGCCUUAAAUUACACUGUAAGUGAGCAACUGCACUCUUGAAUGUAGAUGUUGACAGUAACAGCAGCUCAGCUGAUGAUUCACUACACAACCUUACUCAAAAUCUAAAGUGGCUUUGUGUAUUUAACUUUGAUUAUUUCAAGAAGCAACAGAGCUAUGGAUCCAGCCCAGUGGUGGAUUAAAUGGCUUCUUGUUGCCUAAAAAUCUCUUGACGGGCCAUGAUCAAAUUUUUUUUUUUGGAAAUACAUGUAUUGCCCGAUAUGGCCUGCAACAGACUCAUGCCAAUGUUGCACUCUCAAUAACUGUUAUACUGUACACAAAUGUCUAAAUAUAUAAUCAGAUUUUCAAGAUGGCUGAUCUAAGACUUACAUGGGACACAGAAUAAAAAACCACCAACAACAUACAAACGGUAUCUGGUUUUUAAAGGCAAAUGCGUCUUUUUAACCUGACGAAAUUGGGUGGAUGUGAUCUACAGGUGCUUCAUAUAGUGACCCUCAAAAACAAACAAGCCAUAGGACAAGCCAUAGGACAAGCCACAGGAACACACACACACACACACACACACACACACACACACACACACACACACACACACACACACACACACACACACACACACACACACACACACACACACACACACACACACACACACACACACACACACACACACACACACACACACACACACACACAGCUGAACUCUGCAACAAGCUGCUGUCAACUUCCAUCCCCACUCCCCAAUUGCAUUACCUCUGCUAAUCGCAUCAUACCUCUUUUGGACAGGGUUCCGGUCUGUGCAUGACGCCAUUGAGUCCCUCAGGCAGAUAGGUGACAUCAAAUCUCGUCUCGACAAGGAGAAGCUGCAGCAGGACACCCGGCACCUCGGCAGCAAGGUGGCAGUGACUUGUGACUGAAGAGGAGCUCCUUUUACUGUCAGGCAGUGCCCAUGCUGAGGCAACAGAGCCACUCGCUUCAAAACCCAAAGGCUCGCCCAUGGAUGACAUUGUUGUUUCCCUCACUACAUUCAUUCCCACCUUAUUUCAUUGCUACGCUGAUGACAUACAGCUCUACAUAACCCUACAGCGACCCUAUGGUAUCGGAAUCCUCACUGUCAUCGUCAUCAUCAUCAUCAUCACUGAGCUCCUGCCUUGAGGCGUGGAUGACAGAAAACUUCCUCCAGCUUAAUAGUUCCAAAACUGAAGCUAUUUUAGUUGGCAAGACCUCCUUCUAUCACCUCAGGAACAUUGCCUAAUGAGGAUACCCGUCCUUCACUCACUCCACUGGCUCGCUGUCUCAUUCAGGAUUGAAUACAAAAUCUUACUCGCCCAUCAGUGCAUCCAUGGCAAUGCCCCUCCCUACCUCAAAGAUCUACUCUCACCACAAACCUCCUCACCCAACCUCCGCUCUGGAAACAAAAGCUUCACCCUUCACCCAUCCAGGACCAGGCACCGUACCAUAGGGGAUCGAGCCUUCUGCUCAGCACCUCCUCGUCAGCGGAAUUCCCUCCCAGACCACCUGAGUGCUCCACAAAGCACACUCAUUUUUUUUCUUUUUUUUUUAUCUUGUUUUUACUCUGUAGCACUUUGCUAUUUGCUUUUAGAAAUGAAAAGUGCUUUAUAAAUAAAAUGUAUUAUUAGUAGUAGUAGUAGUAUUCUGUGAGCCCACGGCCAUUUAGACAGACGAUCUUGCGAGUUUAAGUUGAAUCCCUUUUGUGAAAAAUGCAUAAUCACCAGUGUCAAUAAAGUGCAGCUUUGUGCAAUCAAAGAAACAUGAUUGUUUACCUUUGUCAGCUGGUGCACGUGGUGGGACAUUUGGUGGGACACAUGGUGGGCAGCCGGAGAGCAUGAUGUUUCCGUCAGCAGGUGUCAGGGGCCAAAAGAAAUGAGAGUGAAUAUUGAACAUAAGUGUGCCAGGUAGCCAGACACACGACUCCAGGUGAAUAACAAGGGCCUCGUGCAAGACCAUGUUUAUAUUCUUCUCCGAAAUUCCUCUUGAGUUCGUACGAACAGGCCACGUGGGAUUCACCAAACUCUGCCAUCUUCCGAAAAAUGUGUAAAUCACGCGCGUAAACAAGAUGAACGUCACCUGAUCGUAUAUGAGCGAGCGUGCCC
ensembl:lncRNA